AACGAACGCUGGCGGCAUGCCUAACACAUGCAAGUCGAACGAGACCUUCGGGUUUAGUGGCGCACGGGUGCGUAACGCGUGGGAACCUGCCCUUAGGUUCGGACUAACUCCUCGAAAGGGGUGCUAAUACCGGAUAAUGUCUUCGGACCAAAGAUUUAUCGCCUUUGGAUGGGCCGGCGUUGGAUUAGCUAGUUGGUAGGGUAAAAGCCUACCAAGGCGACGAUCCAUAGCUGGUCUGAGAGGAUGAUCAGCCACACUGGGACUGAGACACGGCCCAGACUCCUACGGGAGGCAGCAGUGGGGAAUAUUGGACAAUGGGCGAAAGCCUGAUCCAGCAAUGCCGCGUGAGUGAUGAAGGCCUUAGGGUUGUAAAGCUCUUUUACCCGGGAUGAUAAUGACAGUACCGGGAGAAUAAGCUCCGGCUAACUCCGUG
rnacentral:rRNA from 1 species